AAGAAGAAGAAAAGAAAAAAAGUUUAAUUGCAAAAAAGGAGAUGUGAAAAAAACAAUUGUGUCACACCAGCCCAUAUACUUUCUCUUUUGCAAGGAGGUGCCUUUACCUUAUAGGAAUUUAAAGAAUUGUUUCUGAAAGAGGUGCCAAGUGGAUUGUCACCUAUAAAUGGAAUUGAGAAUUAUAUUGAUCUCAAUUUAUGAGCAUUU
rnacentral:lncRNA from 1 species